rnacentral:lncRNA from 1 species
CAGGGAUGGAGGACCAGGCAGGGAGGGGGGCCGGAGAAGCGAAAGAGAUAGAUCAAAAAGAGGAAAGAAGAGGGACUGGGAAGCUAGGGCGACUGAGGAUACGCCGAGGUCUAGUCCGGCUUGGCAGCGCGAACUAGAGAGCUUUGCGAGCCGCGGGGCUGGGAAGUCAGGGCAUAAGGGCCAGGCCUGCCCUCUGGUGCUUUCGGCUCCUCGGGCCCCCGACUUUAAAGUGCUCAAGUUGGGGUCGGCGCCAUCAUGACGCCUGAGACUGGGGCCCCGCGGCAGAGCGCACUGAAGCAAGGAUCUCUGCAGGGGUCAGCAUCCGGCUUCCUCCCCAGACUGAGCUCUUGAUGAGGCAGGCAGGAGUCAUAGAUGUUGGUGGUACCCAAGGUGGCUUUUUAUUUUUUAUUUUUAUUUAUCACGUUGUCUAAGGAUAGAUGGGGUAGGGCCAGCAAUUCACAUCACCCGGGACCACCCAGACUGACUAUCCAGGAGCCUCUAAGCAACAUCACCACCCUGCAGAAGAUUCCCUGCGAGGCUCAGCAAUUAACGGAGAGGUUUGCAGCAGGAGCUACUGAUGUGAUUAGUAUUCAGGCUUAAUUCUCAGAACCCGCUCGGGAAUUGAAAGUGCGGUAGUAUUCAGCCGCAUUUCGAAACAUCAAUAAAAUGUUAGUCAUUUGCGGAUGAAUGAAAGGAAUAGAAACCCCGACUAAGACAGAGUGCUUACAAUUCAAUGACAGGAAAGAAGAUAACUGGAUAAAACUGGACACAGGGUGAGUAGACCCAGACAUUUCUCCAAAGAAAACAUAUAAUGCCCAUUGAUAUCAUCAUUCUUGUUGUCUUCAUCAUCAUAGUUGCCAUCACUGCCACCAUCACCCUUGCCACCAUCACUGUUGCCUUCGCCGAGCUUACCAACAGCUACUUCAGGAAAAAGUCCACUGCGGAAGAAAAAAUGAAAAAGUACAAAUUCUUAGUGACAAGCAAAGCAUCACACCAGUACCUCCAGGAUGAACAGUCUCAGCACCCGAGUGUGAACUGGAGGACAAGUGGACGAAGCCUCUAGUCUCAUCAGCACACAGACACUCCACGAUGAAAUGCCAGUGACAACUAUGCCUCUGAGCUCCCUUUCAGCUGUAGCAAGGCAAAGAUAUGAGUCUGUCCAAUAUCUAGGGCUCCUUCCAGAAUAUCAGAUGCACCCUAUAUUUAAUUGCUGGAUGUUUGGAUUGCUGCUGCAGGUCAUGGUGAGUACAGGCCUCACCACCAGAGAAAGCUCAUACCUGGGCAGGCAAUAGCUAUCCCUAACCAUCAUAUCUUCUGGAUAGUGUUCCUAAACACCGGCAAUCUUGGUAAUUAUUUUUUGUUUCAUCACUGUAAAAUAUUUUAAGUCUAUAUGACAUCCAAAUUUAUGUAUUUCCUGGCAAUCCAUAGAGAAUUUUAUCAGAACUGUGUUAGGUGGGUUUGUAUAUAUUAUAUGGAUAAGUUAAAAAUGAGUGUCAAAAAGAUUUUCAAGAUGAAAAUAUUUACAAUUCACCUAUAAUUUUAACUUCGGUAGAAAAUAAACAACUUUAUUCUGGUUGUAUUUGGUAGAAUAUAAACAAAUUUUAUAUUCACACAUGCUAUUUAUAAUGUGUAAUAUUUAGACAUUAUUAUUGGGCUCAACAAACAUCGGCAUUGUGCUCAUUGAAAUAAUUUCAUUUUACGCACAAGUUCUAACUUUAGAUAGUAUUUGCAGAGAACCCACAAUUUCUGCAUAAGACAUAAAUCAUGAUUUUGAACAAAAGUGAUGUGCUUUAUUUGUUAAUGAUCACCAAGAUUUACACUCACUCUGGCCUGCUGGUUUUAUUUGGAUUUAUGAGUUAUCACUGAUUUUCCUGCUCUGAGAUGUCUUGUGGUAAUACAAUUUGCUGCUAUCCAGAGAGCAAACCCUGAUGCCCUCAAGAACUCUUGAUUCUUUUCAGCACAAUCUCCCCAGAGAAAGUAGAGAGCAUCUCAUUUCACCAAAUGCUUUUCUGUCCCAGCUUAUUGUUUAAAAAGCAAUCUUGGCUUUCUCAAAUGACUCAUUUAUUUGGAAAAUGUGUAUAUAAUUGUGUUAGUUUUCAGUGUGGCCCCAUUUGGCUUUUGAAGGCUACAACUAAAUUUUAGAGUACUACCCCACCAUUCCUGUGCAGUGCAUGAUCUUCAUGCAUUCAUUGCUGAGGGAACUUCAAUUGCAGGUGUAUUGAAAAACAUGGGAAGAAAAAGUUACAAGUAAUAGAAGAACUAACUCAUUCAGGAGCCCGAAGAAAGGAACAGAACUUCUAGUGUGAGAUGCUGAGACCGCCUCACUGUGAAAGGUGUUCCCUGUCCAUUCUGAUAAGAGGGGGACUGCACAGCUUGGAUUGAUUCAUGUCUCUUGCUUGGAUCCUGCAACAUCUGACUACAGUGCAGGAAAUAAGUAAGGACAAUGUCAGAAAGCAAAGAGCAGGAAAUUACACGGGGUGAGAGUUAUACAUGGCCUAAUUCUCUAAGUCCUGCUUGUUCUGCCAGUGGGUUAGUGUGUUUCAAUAUCUUAUAUUAAGAGCAGGCAUUAUUUUUAAUAGUACAUCUCAUUUUCUCUCUAGAGAAAGCAGGAGAUAUAAUGCAUUCUGCAAGACUACAGCAGUGGCUUUCCAGGCACAGCCUAGUGGGCUGGGUAAUGUACUACCUCAAAACCAGAGCAAGGUCUACCCCAGAGCCUUGAUAAUGGCUCCACAGGAUCAGAACACUAUGCUCUCACACAAAACCCUUUUAAAACAAUACAUAUUUUAUGCCCCUUUAUCUAUAACUGAGGCUUUCCAAGGCAGAAUAAAUCCUGACGACUUUGUUAAUUAUAUAUUGAGGAUAUUGCAGAACUCAAGUGUAGGAAUAAAGCCAAGCCUCAACCAGAGACACUCAAUUGGAAUAUGGUACAUGGUCAGCAGCUACUCUCUGCUUUCUCUUCUGGUAUUGAUUUUGUCAAAUAACUUUCUCCACUUCUCCUGAGGUAUGGUGAUCUAAAGGUAUAUAAAUUUUUCUUUUGUAUUUUGCAAUUAAUAAAACUUUCAAAGCCACCCAUUAAAAUCCAGAUACUAAUUCUAAAUAAUCAGAGAGGAUAAACAACACUCUAGUUUACACUAAUGUUCAUUUGAUCAUCACUGUGAAAACAGGUAAGAUUAAAAACAUAUGGGGGCUGAUAGCUUAGGGCAGUGGGAUUUUUCUCAUGUUGUAACAUGCUCUCAGACUUUAACAAAACUGACUCCUUGACAGAAGUACCAUUCAUUCUAUAAAACCCAGCACAUAUAUAACACCACCUGCCAAACUUAAAACAAAGAUCUAAUCUGUCAAAGUCCAUAGUUCUGAGAAAGUUUCUACAUUUACUAACUUUGCAUUUGGCUUCUGUAUUUUCACUUUCAGCUAACAGUUCUUGUAAAUGGACGUAUGUCAACUCACGAUAUAAAUUUUGUGUUUAAAACCUCACCCUGAGAAAGACUCACAGCUCCACUGGGAUCCUGAACAUGCAGAGUAUUUUCUACCCUCCAGCCUGCUAUGGCCUUCUCUUGGCUCUUCUUCUCUUAAACUUGUAGCCUUCUCUGGUAGACAUCUCACAACAAUGAAAGGGGAAUCACUCAGGAUGAAACUUGUCUAUACUUUAUGUCUAUACAUUGUGCUUUACAUAUUAUAAUUUCAAGGAGAUUACUAACUACUCAUGUGUUCAGAUUUAAAGUCAUUUUAAAACUUCUAUUCUACAUUUCAAUAUCUAUACUAUCCCCUCUCUAUAAUUUUGCUUCAAUUUGCAAAAGUGGGGUGUAUUUCUAUAAGUAAAAGUGGGCAGAACAUUUGCCUACAGGAAUGUACCUUGUAUCAACACUUGUGUUGUCUCUGUACAUGGGGCUAAGGAGCCAACAGUAUUGCCAUUCAUUUAAAGAUGGUUCCACCCUGUUUUGAUGUAGUGAGCACAUGAUCCCAUGCUGUGAGCUGUGAAGUGGUAGGUAGCAGAGAUGCUAAGUGGGAUUGGUAGCAGGACCUCCCUGUUAGAACCAAGCAAUGGUACUUGCAUUCUGCUCUCAGCUUGCUGACUAGCAUUUGCAGUGAUGCCUUACAAAGACUGCUGACCUCAGCUUGAUUCAGUAAGUUGGAUUCUAAUCUGUCUAUUUCCACUACAGUGUUUAUACAUGAUUUCACAUACUACGGUUGGACAAGAAGGAACUACUAGGUAUAUAUUUUUUGAAAAAAAAUUCCUUGAAAUAUUUUUCCCAAAUCAAUAUUAUUUUAUUCUAUGCAAUUAAUCUAAGACAUUUUAAGUCAAAAUACUGUUUCCAAAAAGUAAAUUACAUUUUCUAUUAAAACCUAAAUGGCUAGGCACUGGAUAUGACUCACUGGUGAAGAGCACUGGCUGACCUCCCGGAAGAUCCAGGUUCAAUUCCCAGCACCCAGAUGGCAGCUCAGUCUGUAAUUCCAGUUCUAAGGGAAUUGGCAUCCUCACACAGGCCUAAAUGCAGCAGAAAUACCAAUGCACAUAAAAAUAAAUGAAUCUUAAAAAAUUACUUAAGUAAAACCCAAAAUGGCAUGUUUUCAGUGCUACAUCUAUCACAACGGCAAGACUAACUUUAGGAGCAAAUGCUCUUGCUUUUUCCAUUAUAGUUCAAUCAUAAACCAUGUAUAUAUGUUAUAUAUAUUUAUAAUUUACAGUUGUACAUGAAAGUUUAAUUUAUAUCAUAAAUGGAUGCUAGAUUUCUUAUUUUUUCUUUUUGGGUAUAUAUAUAUAUAAAAGUUUAAUGUAGAUCAUAAGUAGAUAUGUGGUAUAUUUCUUACUUAUUUUCAGUAAUAAGGUAGAAUAAUUAUCUAAAUAUAGACACAGUUUUACUAUGAAGUUGUAGAAGUAACACUUUGUAACACACUUUAGAUUGUAGGAUAAAAUUGUAAUUUUUCCUUAUCAGUCACACUAAUAGUCUUUGAAACAGUUUUUCCAGCUGUUAAAUGACAAAUAUGUUUUGCAAGAAUGAAAAGUUUUAGCACACACCUGACAAUAAAUGAACAUGCUGAAUGUUUUACACACGGACAGGACAGCAUGAGCCGGAAUCAACUGUAUCAUUGGAAUAUGUAUUUUAGCAACUGACUCUCCUAUGAAAGCAACAGUAAAUUAACAGAGGGUCAAACAACUCAAGAUUCUGUCAGUAAUUAGUUGUUGUGAUGUAUUCAUUGACUUGACUAUCCUGAAGGUUACCCUGACAGCUGGAUUCUGAGUGAGUUCUUCAGGUUGCUUGAGGAAAGGCUAACAUCUGAGUCAGUGAGCACUAUGGCUGACUCUUGGAUAUCAUCUGUAACCCUAUUCCCUUGACAAUGAAUAACACUGAAUUCAAUUAAAAUCUGACCCAAACAAGAAGGAGCCUGAAGCUACAGUCUGUCUACAUGAAAAACAAAUUGGGAACUCAGUAGGAAAAGACACUUGCCUCCUAACCUGACCACCAGGGUUCUAUUCCCUAGACCAGCAUGGUUGAAGAGAAGACAAACUCCCAUAAGGUCUCCUCUGGCUUCAACACUGUCCUCAGGGUCUGCAUCUGGCCACACAUACACAUGUUACCUAAUUCAAUCUUUCAUUAAUAAAGUUCCAAUAAAAGAAGUGAGCAGCACAGCACAUGAGCUUAAGCAUGUACCUCCUUGGUAUGCAAGAGGAACUC